rnacentral:rRNA from 1 species
UACAGAGGUCCCGAGCGUUGUUCGGAUUCACUGGGCGUAAAGGGUGCGUAGGUGGCAUAGAAAGUUUGAUGUGAAAGCUCAGGGCUUAACCCUGAAAUGGCAUUGAAUACUGCUGUGCUGGAGGCUUGGAGGGGGGACUGGAAUUCUUGGUGUAGCAGUGAAAUGCGUAGAUAUCAAGAGGAACACCAGUGGCGAAGGCGAGUCCCUGGACAACACCUGACACUGAGGCACGAAAGCUAGGGGAGCAAACAGG